CAACUGCAGGGGCACAGGUUGGCAGUGCCUAUCUCCACCCCAACUGGUUUACAAAACCACUUCAACACCAAACUCUUUACUUUUUCCACAUACCUCUCAGGGCACUGUCCUGAGACCUGGCAGUCAAUAAAAAUGACCCCAUUCAUGCACUUCCUAUGAAGAGAAAGAUAAGGAAGAGGAGGAGGCUGCUUGACAGGAUGAACAGG